rnacentral:rRNA from 1 species
GGGGAAUAUUGCACAAUGGGCGAAAGCCUGAUGCAGCGACGCCGCGUGAGGGAUGACGGCCUUCGGGUUGUAAACCUCUUUCAGUAGGGAAGAAGCGAAAGUGACGGUACCUGCAGAAGAAGCGCCGGCUAACUACGUGCCAGCAGCCGCGGUAAUACGUAGGGCGCAAGCGUUAUCCGGAUUUAUUGGGCGUAAAGAGCUCGUAGGCGGUUUGUCGCGUCUGCCGUGAAAGUCCGAGGCUCAACCUCGGAUCUGCGGUGGGUACGGGCAGACUAGAGUGAUGUAGGGGAGACUGGAAUUCCUGGUGUAGCGGUGAAAUGCGCAGAUAUCAGGAGGAACACCGAUGGCGAAGGCAGGUCUCUGGGCAUUUACUGACGCUGAGGAGCGAAAGCAUGGGGAGCGAACAGGAUUAGAUACCCUGGUAGUCCAUGCCGUAAACGUUGGGCACUAGGUGUGGGGAACAUUCCACGUUUUCCGCGCCGUAGCUAACGCAUUAAGUGCCCCGCCUGGGGAGUACGGCCGCAAGGCUAAAACUCAAAGGAAUUGACGGGGGCCCGCACAAGCGGCGGAGCAUGCGGAUUAAUUCGAUGCAACGCGAAGAACCUUACCAAGGCUUGACAUGUGCCAGACCGCUUCAGAGAUGGAGUUUCCCUUCGGGGCUGGUUCACAGGUGGUGCAUGGUUGUCGUCAGCUCGUGUCGUGAGAUGUUGGGUUAAGUCCCGCAACGAGCGCAACCCUCGUUCCAUGUUGCCAGCACGUAAUGGUGGGGACUCAUGGGAGACUGCCGGGUCAACUCGGAGGAAGGUGGGGAUGACGUCAA